UAAAGUCGGCUAGCUCGGGAUGGAUG
rnacentral:misc_RNA from 1 species